GGGCCAUUAGCUCAGUUGGCAGAGCACAUGACUUUUAAUCAUGGCGUCCGGAGUUCGACUCUCCGAUGGCUCACCA
rnacentral:tRNA from 2 species